AUAAAAUGUAGAAGAGAUGGCUUAAAAUUUUAAGAGAGGCUGAGGUUUAUCAGAUCAACCUCUUUUAUACAGCUGAGUGUAAAAGCUGACAUAACUGGAAAAAAAGUUUAAGAUAGAAGUCAAGAUAACUUUCAGUAAGAAGUCUUUGGGUACCUCAGGAAAUAAGUAUUAGGCAACAGCUGAUCAUUUUUUCAGAGCGAUCUGUGUGCUGUCAACAUAUGAUGUCAUCCUUCCGUAGCACUUCACUUUUCCACUACUUGUAGCUAUGGAGGUGGGUCAGUGUGCAUCCUGCAUGGCAUACAGCUCUCUCAAUUUCUUCAUUUUUUGCAGGGCUUGCUUAACUCAUCUCUUAGGCUGUGUAGUUAGUGAGGACACAGGUAUAUAUACCCUCAUUUGAAAUCUGUCCACACAAAGCUAACACUGGUGGUGGUAGCCUGUCUCGGUUUCCCGGCAACAGCUCUGCUUAUGAGGCUUAACAAUGCAGAAGAGAUAGAAAAUGAGAUUCUGGGAGACUGGGAGUGUGGAGCCUUGUGAGACAAGUCUGACACAGGAGUUUGUGGAAAAGAUUUGUGUUGUGCAUGAGAGCUGUGGAAGAAAGACAUCAUUAUGGAGGAAUCCUAAUUGUAAACUGAACCACCUCCACCCCCAAAUUAGCAGUAUAAGGAAUAGCAGACCUCACUAA
rnacentral:lncRNA from 1 species